UACAGUGAGGCCCUUCUGAUCAACACUGCAGCCUGUACGAUGUCUUCAGAAAGGAAGCUCCACCUAGCAGGCUGAUUCUUGCUGCCAGAAAGAUUGAUCAGUACAUGUCAGUGUUGUGCUGCUUCACUGAUUGCCCGUGUUUCCUCAAAGGAGAUGUAAAUGCACAGGCUCAUAGCUGGUUACAUUUCCUUUCAGAGAUAACAAGGCUCCCUGGAGGAGACAACAUCAAAAAUCACAGGAUUAUCCAUCAGCCAAGAGGAUGAGAACUGCCAGUCCUGUGACAACCACAGCAUCUUCUCUGAGAACUAAGCUGUGUGAAUGGAUGCUAACAUGACUGGAAGACAAUUCCUCCAGGAAUCAUCUUCAGCCUUCUGCAAAACAGAAAUGCUAUGACAAGAAGAUAGUGAAAAUGAGUAAUUAGACCUUGAGCUGCAGGUGAUAUGCACUGUGAAACAUUUGGAUACCUUUCAAGAGGAUGCAUCAUGAUCACUGCUGCCUUCCUGGGGAAACAGGGGCAACAGAUUUUAGCCCAGCACAGAGGAUAAGGCAAGUAAUUCUGCUCCAGUACAAGUAGAGAACAAAAUCUCCAAUAAUAACUAGAGAACACUUACACUUGAGGUGAGUUUGGUCUUGUUAA